rnacentral:rRNA from 1 species
GAUUAACGCUGGCGGCGUGCAUAACACAUGCAAGUCGAACGAAGUGGCGGACGGGUGAGUAACGCGUGAGUAACCUGCCUUAGAGAAGGGGAUAGCCUUUGGAAACGAAGAAUAAUACCCUAUGCUCAAAGAUGGACUCGCGUCUGAUUAGUUAAUUGGUGGGGUAACGGCCCACCAAGACAGCGAUCGGUAGCCGACUUGGGAGAGUGUACGGCAACAUUGCGACUGGGAAACGGCCCAGACUCUACGGGAGGCAGCAGUGGGGAAUUUUGCACAAUGGGUGAAACCCUGAUGCAGCGACGCCGCGAGAUUUAGAAGGCCUUCGAGUUGUAAAAAUCUUUUCUAUGGGAAGCAGUACCAUAGGAAUAAGGACCGGCUAAUUACGUGCCAGCAGCCGCGGUAAUAC